UGUCAUAAUCUGACAGCGAGAGAGAGCACGCUAGUCGGCAUCCAUGCUUGGAGACAUGGCUGUUUACCAGCGUGCUCUCUUUCGUUGUCAUACGAUGUGCCU
rnacentral:pre_miRNA from 1 species